UAUCCAAUGUAUAUUAACACCAGUUUCAUUUUACACAGAACUGAUUAACAGUGUUGUUUUUGGAUUGUUGUAAUUGUUGCUAUUUUUUGUUGUUAUAGUUGUUGCUGUCAUAGUCGUCAUUUUAACCGGGGACGCCGGGGACAUGUCCCCGGCAAAAUUUGUGAUUGGCAGCUGUGUCCCCCCCACUUUCAAAAAAGCCUGCUGAUGAGGAUUUUUGUUUUACCAGCUCAGAUCUUAUACCAGGGGUCGGCAACCUGUUCCAAUCAAAGAGCCAUUAUUACCCGUUUCCCACAGUAAAGAAAACACUGGGAGCCACAGCGGCCGCAUCGUUGUGGGCGGGGCCUACCCUCAGACAGCAGAGAGCUGCUCACAACCAGGUGACAGCAGCCGGUACCAUGGGCGUCGCACCCGUGGGGGAUGCAACACCCACACUUUUCCAGCUGUUUUGCUCACCUCCACACCAGUCUGGAUUCUUUAGGUCGCACUCACUCUGUUUGCCUCAUCUCCUUCUUCACCUCCCCUAUUCUGACAGCCGAUGUCGGGUUCAAGGAGAGCAGGAGAGGGAGGGACGGAAGAGCUCGACUGAAUUCAUAAUUUUACAUCUUGACAUUAGCUGUACAAAGUCUGAGUUUGAUCAAGUGAAGAACACCAAUCUGCAGAGGUUUAUAACAGGCGCAGCGCCAGGUUUUCAUUUUUGGGUGGGCCACGGUAAUUUUGGACGGACCUUAAUAAGCAGUGACUUAAGUGAAGCAGGCAGGUCGCGCUAGAAAUUUUUGUUUUAAAAGACGUCAUAAAUGUGUUCCCCCGUCAUUUUUAUUUCUAAAAUAUGAAGUAAAAACUCCCAAUUUAAUUUUCAUUCAUUUGUCAUUAAUAUUUAGUCUACACCCGUGCGUUAAGUGGACCAUCUUCCAGUAAAAGCAAAGCAUCCGGCCCACCUCUCCAAAUGCGUAAAAUAUGCAUCACAGCCACUAGGCGCACCGCGGGCACCGUCAGCUACGUCAGUCCAGACAAGAGCAGAGCAAUUAGAGAAAGAAUAGAGGAUAAUUGUCUGGAUGUGGAUGGAGAUUACAUUUUACAGCAGCCUGAUCAUCAUUUAAAUACGUAAACCAUCACCUGUCUUCUAGUCCACGCUAUCAGCAUUAUUUUAAUUUGUGUGUGUGUGUGUGUGUGUGUGUGUUUUCCACUUCAAACACUGGUCUAACCAACCAGACCAGCAUGUCCAGUAACUUAUUAAUGUUACAAUUAAACAGUUUCACUUCAUGUAGGCUAGGAACAUUUCACCUGCCGUGGCCCGACCGCUUCUGCUCCACAUGAACUUUGUGCGUGAUCAAAUAUCUCUACAGGUGUUUUCUGAGCUGAAGAGACUAUUCUGCCUCAGACUGGAUGCAUCAUGCGUCUCCAUAUUAGAGAUGGGAACAAGCGCUAUUCAGCCAAACUUUCAUAAUUUCAUAAAAAUAACAUUUUCCAAGUGACACAUCCCUCAGAGAGACCGGGUUUCCAGAACGCUUCAGUGGGAGGAAAUCAACCAACAUCCUUGAGUUUAUCCGUCAAAAUAAACAGUCAAAUGGAAAUAUCUGUAACCUGUCAUUUAACUGUUUUGCCUUCCUGUGAAGAUUGUUGCAAAGAGAAACAACUAAACCUGAUUAACCCCAGAGCCACGCGCACUGCACUGUUCUGACUGUAAAUGAGGAGGAAACGAUUUAAUCAGAUCCUUUUCUUUUCAACAUGGUUUAAUGUAAAGUUUCACUCAGUACAAACUUUAGUUACACCAAUCUAACGAGACAGAGCCUGGAUUUGUAUUCUGAACAGUUUAAACAUGUUUAAAAUGGAGACAUGCGUGACGCGUCUAAAAUUCACACCUGCUCCGCUAUUAUGGAAAUUAAAAUAACAAGAUGAAUAACAUGAACUUAUUUUAGGCACAGACAACAUCCCCACACUUUUGAAAAGCUUGCAACGCACCUGGUCGCUCGUGUACGUCAAAGUUAUCUUUCAUAAAAAGAUAAUCAAUAAAACGAUUAAAUAAAGUGGAUCCAGAAGCUGUAGCCCGUCUCUGCCUUCAAUAUUCACACUGUUGGUGGUUGUACUGAGCAGGUGCCACUUUUGUCAUAUGUUUCUUUUUAAAACAUGUUUAGACUGUUCAGAAUACAAAUCCAGGCUCUGUCACGUUUGAUUGUUGUAAUUAAACUUUGUAGGUGGGGAAGGUCAGAAAGCAGCUCAGAAGCGCAUGAUUUCGCACAAGCGUGACGCGUCAACCCGGUCUCACAGACCGGGUUGGACCUGUUCAGGUUUACGCAGACAAUCUUUACAUUUAGAAUUGGCAUACAGAUGUAAAAUUAAUGCAGUAAAAUAUAAAGCAUUUUAUUUAAAUAUCCAUUCAUUAUUUUACAAGCACAGAGAGCGCAUCAGAUGGAUGGAGGAGCCGCAUGCGGCUCCAGAGCCGCGGGUUGCCGUCCCCUGUGCUAGCCUACUUUAUUGUCCCCAGCAAUUUUUAAGCCCCACUCAAGUGUAUGGUUAUUGUCCCCAGCAAUUCUGAAAACAAACUGACGCCCUUGGUUGCUGUUUAUUAUUGUAAAAUUGAUGUUUGAAUUAUUUUUUUAUUCUUUAUUCUUUGGGGAUUUAUUGUUUAUUUUCCCCAUCCAUUCUGCACUCCAGUAGGUGUCGUGAGUGCGCAAGUUGCUUGCCAACUGAUGAGCUGACUGGAAAAGGAGGCGACAGGCUCAACAUCACGGGAAAAAAAAGAAACUAGGCACACAAGCCCUUUCACUUUCAUUUCCCCUUUGUGACUGUGUUGACAGUGACCAUCGUGGUGUCUAUUGUGGGUAAGAGAAUUACAUUAAAUUACAACGUUAGCUAGAUAACGUUUAAGGUAAUUAUUGCUAACUACCCUACAUUUAGCAGAAGAGAGAAGAUAACUUGCAGUCGCGUGCAAAAGUGCCUUUUAUGAAAGGCAACGUAACACCGCCUGAAACUUUUCAUUUCAUUUUCGUCUUGUGAUUUCAUCGUGGUGCCUGUUGUAGGUAAGAUAAUUACAUUAAAUGAGAUUGUUAGCUAACUAACAUUUAAGCUAAAUAUGCGCGCGUGCGAAAGUGCAUUUUAUUAAAGUUAAUAUGUUACAACUCAGCAGAAUAGACAUUAACAUCGUAACGUAAUACCGCAUGAGACUUUUCACUUUGAUUUCCCUGUUGUGAUUUAAUCGUGGUGCCCAUUGUAGGUAAGAGAAUUACACGAAAUGAGAACUUUAGCUAACAAACGUUUAAGCUAACUAUGCGCUCGCGCGCGAAACUGCCUUUAAUGAUCUGUGAUAAGUUCAAGGUUUGUGAGUUACAACACUUUUUGAGCCAACAAAGGCUUCAUGUCCUGGACCGCCAUCUUAAAUGCUUCCUUAUGUGGCCCCACUUACUUCAAUUACCAUCUUUAAUGGAAAAAAUAAUUCUAAUGUGACACUCAGUUUUGAUAAUGAUUGCUGUCUCUUUCGUUUCAGCCCAUUUAUGGACGUCUUUGUGGCCAACAAACUGAGUGAGUGGCAGCUAUCAGAGCUAACAAACAGUUUUAAAGGUGAGUGUAUUGACUGGACAGAUUUGUAUAUGAUGCAAAAGUAAAUUAAUUUCAGGAAUUCAACUAAAAAGGAGAUGCUAACAGGGUUUUUCCUGGCUCAAGUUGAGGCAGAGGUGGUACCAUCCUGACCAUGCGCCAGCACAUGCGUACUCUGUGCAUUCAACUGCCUCACUUUUUUAAAGGCAAAAUAUUAUAAAAGGCUCAAUAAUAUGCAUUAGAUUGGCGUUUAGUUCCCUUUUUCCCAUCUGAUAUUUAUAGUUGAAAUUAUUUUUUAAUAGUUGACCUACAUUUCAGUAACAUUUUAGGUUUGUAUUAAUAACACUCAUCUUAGUCAAAAUAACACAUAAAUGUAUCCAGUAAAAUAUAAUGCAUUUCAUGCAUUUGUAUUAGAAAUGGUAAUAACAUUUAAUUUCUGCUGCUAACAAUGUAAUGGUGGGAUGUCUAUUAUGUACAGGUUAGGGUUGGCCCCCAAAAUGCCUUGAAACGGCCCUGGGUGUGUGACUGAGUUUUGAAGUUGAUCUGAAUUGUAUCACAUGUAGAAAUAUUACAUGUGUAUAACUUAGUGUUUUAUACAGGUAAAAACGUGUAGUGGAGAUAAACCUACCUACAUUUUACUUUCAAGCUUUGUUUUCUUGUUUUUAUUUAUCUAUUUCCUGUCCUGUCUGUCUCUCAUCUUCCUGCAUCUCCUCUAAACUCUCCAGAUAAACUGCAGCCUGGAUUUUUACUUUUUCACCUUAUCAGUUACUUCUGAGCAGAUCAAAGGGAUCUCCUGACUGCAAAGUGGAGAGCGCAUUUCGAUGCUGCGUCAGUGAGGUGAAAUCACCGCAGCACACAAUGAGCGGAGCGCGUCAGGAACAAUUAAAAGACAGAAUACCAGAGGAUAUGAACAGAUAUGAACGAUCAUGUGUUAAUAAUAAUGUUUUGUUGCACCACCUUGAGAAUGUAUCAUGUGCCGGACGCAGCGGGCGCACCAACGAUCAGCGCUCUGCAUCCUCUCCGCUCAACAGAAUCCCGCUACGCUGAGAGUCCAUAAAUACUGUAAUAUAGGCAGAAACUGGAUCUUUCCCUGAAAGAUAUCUAGACCCCAUAACUCGAUCCCUGCCCCUGGAUGAAAAACCGGACAUUUUGAUCAAUGUAGGACCCCCCACCCCCCCUUUUGGUUCUUUUUGCUUUAUCUUCCAGAUUAAGAUAUAGACGAGGAGUCAUUUCUCCUCUUAGAUGAGGACACCAUCAAACAACUCAUCCCCAAAAUUGGACCCAGAGUCAAGUUCUUAAAACAGUAUAGAGAAUUUGUAAGUUAUCACUAGAGUCAAACAGGCUCAACAUUCUCAAGGGACAUGGCUUAUACAUGCUUUACAGUUUUUUUCAAUUGUUUAAACUCAAAAAGCAAAAAUGAGGCACAAUUUUCACAACCUCUACUUCUGUUCCCAAUCGCUUGACUCAAUUUAUCUCUACUUAAGAUUUCCUUAUAUCAGAACUCUGAUUGUCCUCCUUUACACUCUGAUGUCAAUUUCACAUCACCUUGCUGUCAAAACACAGCACACAAUUUUCAGGUUUACACACACUUCUCACAUAAAUUCUCAAAGCUUCAAUCAACAACACACAAAUAUUCAAAUCUCUAAACUUCCGGGUCUGGCGAGCAAUUUGCAAUUAGGGACUGCAGCAUAAAAGUAAGUUUCCACAAGGCUACCCAGGUGUAUGAGUGGUUUCAGGACCACCCACGGUUUUCCAUUUUAUACCUUCCACCUUAUUCCCCCUUCCUCAAUCCCACUGAGGAGUUUUUCUCAGCCUGGAGGUGGAAGGUGUACAAAAGGAAUCCACUGAGCCAGGUCCCACUGCUUCAAGCCAUGGAGGAGGCUUGUAGAGAUGUGGCCUUUAAGGCCUGUCAGGGCUUCAUGAGGCACUCGAGGCGGUACUUCCAGCGCUGUUUGGACCAGGAGGACAUCGCCUGUGAGGUGGAUGAGGCCCUCUGGCCAGACAGAGACUGGAGGCAUGAUGCCCCAUGAUUAUGCUUGGAUGGGAGAGGGGGUGGAGGGUUAACUGUAAAAAUAAAAUGUUUUGUCUCAAAAUUUGUGUGAUGUCUGCUCAGAUGCAUUUUGCUCAGAGAGAAGUGGGCACUGUCAUACAUUCAGUGUGUAAUUCAUUGUGUUCCAUUUAGACAAUUGUGUUUUCAGUUUUGCCCUUCGAGGGCCGGCUUUGCAGACAGGCGACACAGGCGGCCGCCUGGGGCGCCAUCUGAUGGAUAGGGCGCAAAAAAAAAAGUUGAUUAAAUUUAUGUUUGUUAUAUGAAAUGCACUCUCUACAUACUCAAAAUUCCCCUUUGAAAUGACAUGAAAUUAAAACAUCAAUAUUUAAAUUCUAAUGAUCUGGCUGCAUGACGAGCUCCCGCUUGGGCCACCGCUCCGAUGCAUUUGACCGUUAAGGGUGCCGUAGAUCACAUGCGUGGGUAGCACUGUAGAAGGACAUCCUGUUGUCGCGUUUAAACUUUUGAUAUCUUUUACGAUGAAAAGAACACCUAAGCCAUCGGGAUCAGCAUUCCCAAAGUGAAGGAAGGAGGAAGAAUAAAAACGGGCCCAAAGCAGAGGUCUGUAGACUUUAUAAAUUUGGCAAAGGAACUUUUUGAGUUACCAUUGUAGCUAACUGCCUCUCCUGCCACGCACGGUCCACGGACGGACCCUCGCUAGCUGUUUACAUUCACAAUACAGUAUCUCAUAACUUUAACCAAUUAAUUUUACUUUUGAAUCGUCGUGUCCAGAUGCAGUGAGACAAUAUCUGCAGCCACACAGGCACCUGUUGACACCACAGGGGGGGGGGGGGGGGGGGGCUGUCUUCUACACCCGUUGAGUCUCACUGUGAUGAUGAAGAAUCGUCUUCUAUCCAAGCAUCAAGCAGCAGCAGCACAUUUACUGAGCUACAAUCUCAGCAUCUAGAACCAGAAAAAGAGCCCAACACCAGCAGACUCAGUGCUCCAAUCCAACAGCCUGAAGAGACAUCAUCAUCAGCUUCAACAGAUGUCUGUGAACAUGUAUGACCUGCUGGCCCCAUGGAUCCUGCUGACUGGCCACAGCAGUUGAACAAAAUGGAAAGUAGAACUUUCUUUAUGAUGACACUGAUAUUUGAGUUUUGCUUUUGAUUGCA